UACGAAGGGGGCUAGCGUUGUUCGGAAUUACUGGGCGUAAAGCGCACGUAGGCGGAUAUUUAAGUCAGGGGUGAAAUCCCAGAGCUCAACUCUGGAACUGCCUUUGAUACUGGGUAUCUUGAGUAUGGAAGAGGUAAGUGGAAUUGCGAGUGUAGAGGUGAAAUUCGUAGAUAUUCGCAAGAACACCAGUGGCGAAGGCGGCUCACUGGCCCGGUACUGACGCUGAGG
rnacentral:rRNA from 1 species